rnacentral:lncRNA from 1 species
AUGAAGCUUAAAGGUCCGUCAUCUGGCAAGCGUAGUAAAUGGGAGAGUUGCUUCUGUUUUAUCUAGAGGAGUAUUUAACUGACUGCUUAUGGCUUCGUGAGUUGUCAUUGUCAUUGUCAUUAGGAAGGCGUGCCUGAACACAAACCCGGAGCACAGCCGCGUUGUGCACAGAAGGGGUGAACACACUUAAUUUAUUAAUUUACCAGGCUCAGUGAGAUCCUGCUGGGAGUUAUGGAGGACAGUGGCCAUCUUAAGUGAGGCGAGGCUUCCCCUCCAUGCUGUACGAUUGUAUGCAUGUUAGCCAGGUGGCGCACUUUAGCUUACCCUGGACAGAACCAUUAAGUGUGCUGGGAAGAAAGGGAGGCCUCUGCAGUAGAGAAGCCUGCUCGGAGGUCCCCGCUUCCUGACAUUGCAAGAACAACAGUGACAAAGCUACCGUGACGUGUGGACGGAGUCAGGCAGUGCUGUGCGAAGUAAACUACCUCAAGGUGUGACGUUACCUCAGCAAUGGUUUUUUGUUCCCUAAAUCCUGGUUUCUAAUUUUCUUUUCUUUCUUUCUUUUUUAAAUAUUUUUUUUUUGCGGCUUGCUGAUAUUUUAUAUAAAAAAAAAAAA